AUGACUGCAAUUUUAGAGAGACGCGAAAGCACAAGCCUGUGGGGUCACUUCUGCAACUAGAUAACUAGCAGCGAGAAUUGUCUUUACAUCGGAUGGUUCGGUGUUUUGAUGAUCCCUACCUUAUUGACCGCAACUUCUGUAUUUAUUGUCACCUUCAUAGCUGCCCCUCCAAUAGAUAUUGAUGGUAUUCAUGAGCCUGUUUCUGGUUCUUUACUUUAUGGAAACAAUAUUAUCUCUGGUGCUAUUAUCCCUACUUCUGCGGCAAUCGGAUUGCACUUUUACCCAAUUUGGGAAGCUGCAUCUGUUGAUGAGUGUUUAUACAAUGGUGGUCCUUAUGAGCUAAUUGUUGUACACUUCUUACUUGGUGUAGCUUGUUAUAUGGGUCGUGAGUGGGAACUUAGUUUCCGUCUGGGUAUGCGACCUUAGAUUGCUGUUGCAUAUUCAGCUCCUGUUGCAGUUGCUACUACUGUUUUCUUGAUUUACCCUAUUGGUCAAGGAAGCUUUUCUGAUGGUAUGCCUUUAGGAAUCUCUGGUACUUUCAACUUUAUGAUUGUAUUCCAGGCAGAACACAACAUCCUUAUGCAUCCAUUCCACAUGUUAGGUGUAGCUGGUGUAUUCGGUGGUUCCCUAUUCAGUGCUAUGCAUGGUUCCUUGGUAACCUCUAGUUUGCUCAGGGAAACUACUGAAAAUGAAUCUGCUAAUGAGGGUUACAAAUUUGGUCAAGAGGAAGAAACUUAUAAUAUUGUGGCUGCUCAUGGUUAUUUUGGCCGAUUAAUCUUCCAAUAUGCUAGUUUCAACAACUCUCGUUCUUUACACUUCUUCUUGGCUGCUUGGCCUGUAGGAAUCUGGUUCACUGCUUUCGGUAUUAGUACUAUGGUGUUCAACCUAGGUUUCAAUUUCAACCAAUCUGUAGUUGAUAGUCAAGGUCGUGUUAUUAAUACUUGGGCUGAUAUCAUCAACCAUGCUAACCUUGGUAUGGAAGUAAUGCACGAACGUACUGCUCACAACUUCCCUCUAGACUUAGUUGCUGUUGAAGUUCCAUCUAUUAAUGGAUAA
rnacentral:rRNA from 1 species